rnacentral:miRNA from 1 species
UUGGUACCAGCUGAGCAUCAUU